rnacentral:lncRNA from 1 species
UUGAAUUUUGGACUCAUUUAAGUCUAAUUAAUUCAGAUCUAAUCUAAAAUUAAUCAGUACUUAAAUCUAAUCUUUCAUAUGCUUCAUGGAUCAUAGAUAAAAAAUUAUUCAUCCUCGAGAUUGAACUUGAACAUCAUAUGUAGUGCUAGCUAAACAUAGUCAACUCUUUAAUCCCGUUUGACCCAUAGCUUAAUUCUCAAUCAAGUUAGCUUAUAUGUUCAAUCAAAUCGAGUACUUCCAAAUUAGACAUAUAAACAUAGACCAAUUUCUUACUACUUUGUCUGACUUAUGUACGUGACUCUAUAGAUUCAAACACUGAGCCGG